CUGAAACUGAAUAAUGUGGAUGUUAUUAUGCUUCUCGGCACUAGACCGUCACCUGAUGUCACCGAAGCAAAUGCGAGCAAGCCACCUUGCCAGAGCGAGCCAAGUGACAUCGUCGGAGCAAGUCAAGUCUUCUCCUCGAACCGAGUGCCAGUAGGUCGCCUCUCCUUGCCGGAGCGGGUCCGUCAAGUUAACUCGCCGGAGUGAGUCAAGAGCCGCUGUCUGGAGUUCCACACCGAGUUGAGAGCUUGCUACUACUUGGAGUCACCUCGUGCCAAGGGAGGAGGUACAGAAGCCUGAAGACUCACAGUCAACAUUUUAGGAACAGCUUCUUCCCUUCUGCUAUCUGAUUUCUGAAUGAGCCAUCAACCUAUGAACACUACAUUGCUGUUCCUCUUUUUGUACCCGAGGAAUCCUUGCAGAGGAAACAGCAAUCACUUGUACUUCUUCCACUCCACAGUUCUGUAAUCAGUGCUCAUAAUGUGGCCUCUUCUAAAUGGAGAAACCAAAUGCAGAAGUUCUUUUGAAGACCUUGACCUGGAGUUACACGCUGACCACGGUUCUUUGCCGGAAUGGGACUCGAUCUCGGGGUUCCAUAACCGACCAUUGUUCGGCACGCCAAAAGCUCGGCCCAAGAGUCCGGCUCGAAUUCGGAAGCCUAGGGUCUCAGGGCUCUGGAGGUGGGCGGAUCGAGUGUUGGCGUCAUGACUGGAUGCCCGUGUGUCGUCAGGGAAGUCAGGAAAUCUGCUGUGUGCCUGGAGACCCGUGAUCUUUGCGAUCUUCAAGCACAGAGCUCGAUAAAAGCGACGCAACGGAUUUUUAACAUUGUAAACCAGUGAGUUGUUUGUUAUGUCUCCCCACUCGCUGGGAAAAUGGAGACACCUUUUUCUCUCUUAUUAGGGAGAGAGAGGGAACCUACGAUAUGUUGAAUACCGGGUGAAACACGAAGACUUUGGGGUAACUGCAAGUCUGACUCUUUGCCUUUGCUUUGCUCACGCUUGAGUGCUUGGUGGUGGGGCUGAUGCUUGCUUUUUUUGCCGGUAGGUGGAGGGGGGAUUAUUGCUCACUGCUGCUUACGCGCAGGAGGGGGGAGCUGGAGGGAGGACUUUGAGGUUCUAACAUUUAACUGU